AUGAAGACACUUGCCCCCACCUGAGCCUGUGUGAAGAGAUUACCGCGGACUCCAGA
rnacentral:snoRNA from 1 species